UAGGGAAUCUUCCGCAAUGGACGCAAGUCUGACGGAGCAACGCCGCGUGAGUGAAGAAGGAUUUCGGUUCGUAAAACUCUGUUGUUAGAGAAGAACAGCGCAUAGAGUAACUGUUAUGCGUGUGACGGUAUCUAACCAGAAAGCCACGGCUAACUACGUGCCAGCAGCCGCGGUAAUACGUAGGUGGCAAGCGUUGUCCGGAUUUAUUGGGCGUAAAGCGAGCGCAGGCGGAAAUGCAAGUCAGGUGUAAAAGGCAGUAGCUUAACUACUGUAAGCAUUUGAAACUGCAUAUCUUGAGAAGAGUAGAGGUAAGUGGAAUUUUUAGUGUAGCGGUGAAAUGCGUAGAUAUUAAAAAGAAUACCGGUGGCGAAGGCGACUUACUGGGCUCAUUCUGACGCUGAGGAACGAAAGCGUGGGUAGCAAACAGG
rnacentral:rRNA from 1 species